rnacentral:rRNA from 1 species
AUAUCAAUAAGCGGAGGAAAAGAAACCAACAGGGAUUGCCCUAGUAACGGCGAGUGAAGCGGCAACAGCUCAAAUUUGAAAUCUGGCUCUCGGGCCCGAGUUGUAAUUUGUAGAGGAUGUUUCUGGCAAGGUGCCUUCCGAGUUCCCUGGAACGGGACGCCAUAGAGGGUGAGAGCCCCGUACGGUUGGUUGCCGCGCCUCUGUGAAACUCCUUCGACGAGUCGAGUAGUUUGGGAAUGCUGCUCUAAAUGGGAGGUAUACGUCUUCUAAAGCUAAAUACCGGCCAGAGACCGAUAGCGCACAAGUAGAGUGAUCGAAAGAUGAAAAGCACUUUGAAAAGAGGGUUAAAUAGUAC